GAUGAACGCUGGCGGCGUGCCUAAUACAUGCAAGUCGAGCGAACAGACGAGGAGCUUGCUCCUUUGACGUUAGCGGCGGACGGGUGAGUAACACGUAGGUAACCUACCUGUAAGACUGGGAUAACUUCGGGAAACCGGAGCUAAUACCGGAUAAUAUUUCGAACCGCAUGGUUCGAUAGUGAAAGAUGGCUUUGCUAUCACUUAUAGAUGGACCUGCGCCGUAUUAGCUAGUUGGUAAGGUAACGGCUUACCAAGGCAACGAUACGUAGCCGACCUGAGAGGGUGAUCGGCCACACUGGAACUGAGACACGGUCCAGACUCCUACGGGAGGCAGCAGUAGGGAAUCUUCCGCAAUGGGCGAAAGCCUGACGGAGCAACGCCGCGUGAGUGAUGAAGGUCUUCGGAUCGUAAAACUCUGUUAUUAGGGAAGAACAAACGUGUAAGUAACUGUGCACGUCUUGACGGUACCUAAUCAGAAAGCCACGGCUAACUACGUG
rnacentral:rRNA from 1 species